rnacentral:misc_RNA from 1 species
UCUCCGUUGGUGAACCAGCGGAUGGAUCAUUACAGAGUUAUCUAACUCCCCAACCCAUGUGAACUUUCCAUUUGUUGCCUCGGCAGAGCCUACCCGGUAACUGUUCGGAGAAGCUACCCUGUAGCUACCCUGUAACGGCCUACCCUGUAACGCACUGCCGGUGGACUUUUAAACUCUUGUUAUUUUAUAGUAAUCUGAGCGUCUUAUGUUAAUAAGUCAAAACUUUCAACAACGGAUCUCUUGGUUCUGGCAUCGAUGAAGAAAGCAGC